GUUGAUGACGCUGUUGCCUCUUGCUGAAUAGCAUGCCGCCGGGCCAUCUCGCGCUCUCCACAGACAAAAGCUGGGUAGGCGCUUUUCGAUGCAAAUGCGUAUUCACGGUGCAACUCGCUUGCUUGAUCCGGCACACAAGUAUUCGUUCUUCAGCGUUUCUACGCUGCGGCACAGCUGCAGCGCUUCCACGCGGACCCGCGUAUGACGCAACGAAAGCAGUCCGCUGGGGUCGCUGAUUCUGGGACAUGCGCUCGCGCGGACCUAAAAAGCAUGAAAGCGUGGGAACUUGUCUUCCAGCGAAGUUAAAGAGACUAAUGUGGUCAGAAUUCGUCAUUCCAUAGCGGUUUCCCGUUCUAGAGCUUGCGUAGCCUCCAGAUCGCCGUUUGUGCGUGCGUCGUGCUCCGAAAAUGUUAGCGCUCAAGAAGGAAAGCACUGAGCAGUAUCCAAUGAAGCGUUUUCUAGCGAACGCUCCCCGCUCACGACCAAGUCAAGCGAUGGACACCCCCCUAACGCUAGCGUGCGAAACGACACCCUUUGAGUGCCAGCGAUGGUGCUCGGGAGCACUGCACCCGUCGUAUACCAAGGCAGCGUCUUCUAUUCUCAGACGCUUACCGAGGACGCUCCCAGCUCCAAAGCGGUUCAAGCUCUUGGUGUACAAAGCAGGUGUACGAUCCUAGUGCCUCGGAGUGUGAGCGCUCCACGGGUGACCUCCCGCGACAGCGCAGCGCGGUGUCGCUGCCCCGCGCGACGGUCAAUACGCUCUGGGGACGAAGCGACACCCGGAGGAACGUUCUCGGAGAAAACAAGCUCAAGGUUCACAAUGGUUUUCGUUUUUUCGAACGCUGUGGUUGUUCAGGGGACCAGAGCAAGGAGCAGCGCUCUCGGGAGGUGCUCCGCGCCUCGUCUUCCUGGUUUGGCUGGUUACCGCUCGAGGGGCUGUUCUCGUCGGGCUACCGUGCGAAUGGAGACGCCCGCUCCGCUUCGAAUGGAGGACGUCUGCUCUGUUGGUCGGAAACGCGAUCCAGAGACGGGUAACAUUCAAGGACGUGUGUUCGUUGUUCACGAUAACAUUGAUACAGACCAAAUCAUCCCCGCUGAGCACCUGAGCUUGCUGCCAUCGGUGCCAGCAGAGUAUCAACUGCUUGGCUCCCACGCGUUGGAAGGUCUUCCUCGAGAGCUCUAUCCCGAGCGUUUUGUUGAAGAAGGACAGUUAUCCACAAAGUAUAGCAUCAUUAUUGCAGGUGAGAACUUUGGUUGCGGAAGCUCCAGGGAGCACGCACCUAUUGCUCUUGGUGCGGCCGGUGCCAAGGCGGUCGUCGCGACCUCAUACGCACGUAUUUUUUUCCGCAACUGCUCAUCGACGGGUGAGCUGUAUCCAUGGGUAUCGAAGACGAGAUUAGUUGAGCACUUUAAGACCGGAGAUGAGGCCGUGAUUGACUUUGAGACCCUCAGCAUACGGAAUCUCAAUAGCGGGCAGCGUUUCGAACUGGAGCCGCUCGGUGAAAUCCAGCCUGUCAUUGAUGCCGGCGGUCUGUUCGAGUACGCUCGUCGGACAGGAAUGAUUAAACCUCGCUCACGUGCAUCGUGAGCUCCA